rnacentral:ribozyme from 14 species
AACCAACAACAAGCAGUAGACAGGAAACGGGAACAAAUAAAAAAAUCGGUAGUAUUUAUUUGUAUUUUAUGCAUUAUUAUUUUACGGAUAUAUUUCACCCUGUUCUUCUACUGAU